rnacentral:rRNA from 1 species
GAUUUUAAUGAAUUAGGUUUUACCAAGUCAUUAUAAUUAUAUAAAUAAAAAGUUUGACCUCAAAUCAGGUAGGAUUACCCGCUGAACUUAAGCAUAUCAAUAAGCGGAGGAAAAGAAACCAACAGGGAUUGCCUCAGUAACGGCGAGUGAAGCGGCAAAAGCUCAAAUUUGAAAUCUGGUAGUUUCACUAUCCGAAUUGUAAUUUGAAGAGAUAACUUUGGAAUUGGCUCUUGUCUAUGUUCCUUGGAACAGGACGUCACAGAGGGUGAGAAUCCCGUGCGAUGAGAUGACCAAUUCUAUGUAAAGUAUUCUCGACGAGUCGAGUUGUUUGGGAAUGCAGCUCUAAGUGGGUGGUAAAUUCCAUCUAAAGCUAAAUAUUGGCGAGAGACCGAUAGCGAACAAGUACAGUGAUGGAAAGAUGAAAAGAACUUUGAAAAGAGAGUGAAAAAGUACGUGAAAUUGUUGAAAGGGAAGGGCUUGAGAUCAGACUUGGUAUUGAUUUUAUCUUUACUGGGCCAGCAUCGGUUUGUACGGUGAGAUAAGACUUAUUGGAAAGUAGCUCAUCUUUUUGAGUGUUAUAGCCUUUAGUGAUGUCACCAGUAUAGACCGAGGACUGCGAUUUUAUAUCAAGGAUGUUGGCAUAAUGAUCUUAAGCCGCCCGUCUUGAAACACGGACCAAGGAGUCUAACGUCUAUGCAAGUGUUUG